rnacentral:rRNA from 1 species
GUUUGAUCCUGGCUCAGAACGAACGCUAGCGGGAUGCUUCAAAACAUGCAAGUCGUACGCGAAAGGGACUUCGGUCCCAAGUAGAGUGGCGCACGGGUGCGUAACACGUAGCUAACGUACCCCCUCGCUGGGGAUAACUUAGGGAAACCUGAGCUAAUACCGAAUAAUCUGACGGAUUCUGCGGAAUUUGUCGGUAAAGCCGUAAGGCGCGAGGGGAUCGGGCUGCGGUCCAUUAGCUAGUUGGCGGGGUAAUGGCCCACCAAGGCUACGAUGGGAUAGGCUGGUCUGAGAGGAUGACCAGCCACACUGGAACUGGAACACGGUCCAGACUCCCACGGGAGGCAGCAGUUGGGGAAUAUUGGACAAUGGGGGAAACCCUGGAUCCAGCAAUCCCGCGUGAGUGAUGAAGGCCCUCGGGUCGUAAAGCUCUUUUAGUGGGGACGAAGGGGAAACUUGACGGUUACCCACAGAAAAAGCACCGGCUAACUCCGUGCCAGCAGCCGCGGUAAUACGGAGGGUGC